GGUCAAGCGAAUAAGCGCACACGGUGGAUGCCUAGGCGGUCAGAGGCGAUGAAGGACGUGGUAGCCUGCGAAAAGUGUCGGGGAGCUGGCAACAAGCUUUGAUCCGGCAAUAUCCGAAUGGGGAAACCCACUGCUUCGGCAGUAUCUUGCAGUGAAUUCAUAGCUGCUUGAAGCGAACCCGGUGAACUGAAAUAUCUAAGUAACCGGAGGAAAAGAAAUCAACCGAGAUUCCCUGAGUAGUGACGAGCGAACGGGGAACAGCCCUUAAGCUGGAAUGGCUUUAGAAAAACAAUCUGGAAAGAUUGGCCAUAGAAGGUGAUAGCCCUGUAUUUAAAAGGGCCACUCCAGUGAAGACGAGUAGGGCGGGGCACGUGAAACCCUGUCUGAAUAUGGGGGGACCAUCCUCCAAGGCUAAAUACUCCUGACCGACCGAUAGUGAACCAGUACCGUGAGGGAAAGGCGAAAAGAACCCCGGAGAGGGGAGUGAAAUAGAUCCUGAAACCGUGUGCGUACAAGCAGUAGGAGCUCGCAAGAGUGACUGCGUACCUUUUGUAUAAUGGGUCAGCGACUUACUGUUCGUGGCAAGCUUAACCGUAUAGGGGAGGCGAAGGGAAACCGAGUCUGAUAAGGGCGCAUAGUCGCGGGCAGUAGACCCGAAACCGGGUGAUCUAGUCAUGGCCAGGGUGAAGGUGCCGUAACAGGUACUGGAGGCCCGAACCCACGUCUGUUGCAAAAGACGGGGAUGAGCUGUGAUUAGGAGUGAAAAGCUAAUCGAACCCGGAGAUAGCUGGUUCUCCUCGAAAGCUAUUUAGGUAGCGCCUCGGACGAAUACUACUGGGGGUAGAGCACUGUUAUGGCUAGGGGGUCAUCGCGACUUACCAAACCAUUGCAAACUCCGAAUACCAGUACGUACUAUCCGGGAGACACACGGCGGGUGCUAACGUCCGUCGUGAAAAGGGAAACAACCCAGACCCACAGCUAAGGUCCCAAAUUCACUGCUAAGUGGAAAACGAUGUGGAAAGGCAUAGACAGCCAGGAGGUUGGCUUAGAAGCAGCCACCCUUUAAAGAAAGCGUAAUAGCUCACUGGUCGAGUCGGUCUGCGCGGAAGAUUUAACGGGGCUAAGCAGUGAACCGAAGCUUGGGGUGCGUAAAACUUCGGUUUUAUGCGCGGUAGAGGAGCGUUCCGUAAGCCUGCGAAGGUGGAUUGAGAAGUCUGCUGGAGGUAUCGGAAGUGCGAAUGCUGACAUGAGUAACGAUAAUGCGGGUGAAAAGCCCGCACGCCGAAAGCCCAAGGUUUCCUUGCGCAACGUUAAUCGACGCAGGGUUAGUCGGUCCCUAAGGCGAGGGCGAAAGCCGUAGUCGAUGGGAAGCAGGUUAAUAUUCCUGCACCUCGCGUGAGUGCGAUGGAGGGACGGAGAAGGUUAGGUGUACCGGGCGUUGGUUGUCCCGGGGAAAGGCGGUAGGUUUGGAUCUUUGGCAAAUCCGGGAUCCUUUAAGACCGAGCACCGAGACGAGCCUUUAUGGCGAAGUCACUGAUACCACGCUUCCAGGAAAAGCUCCUAAGCUUCAGCUCACGAAGACCGUACCGUAAACCGACACAGGUGGGUAGGAUGAGAAUUCUCAGGCGCUUGAGAGAACUCGGGUGAAGGAACUAGGCAACAUGGCACCGUAACUUCGGGAGAAGGUGCACCCUUUUUGGUGGCUCAUGCGAGCUAUAGCUGAAGAGGGUCGCAGAAACCAGGCCGCUGCGACUGUUUAUCAAAAACACAGCACUCUGCAAACACGAAAGUGGACGUAUAGGGUGUGACGCCUGCCCGGUGCUGGAAGGUUAAUUGAUGGGGUCAGCCGCAAGGCGAAGCUCUUGAUCGAAGCCCCAGUAAACGGCGGCCGUAACUAUAACGGUCCUAAGGUAGCGAAAUUCCUUGUCGGGUAAGUUCCGACCUGCACGAAUGGCGUAACGACAGCGGCGCUGUCUCCACCCGAGACUCAGUGAAAUUGAAAUCGCUGUGAAGAUGCAGCGUUCC
rnacentral:rRNA from 1 species